AUGCACGCUGGCGGCGUGCCUAAUACAUGCAAGUCGAGCGAACAGACGAGGAGCUUGCUCCUCUGACGUUAGCGGCGGACGGGUGAGUAACACGUGGAUAACCUACCUAUAAGACUGGGAUAACUUCGGGAAACCGGAGCUAAUACCGGAUAAUAUAUUGGACCGCAUGGUUCAAUAGUGAAAGACGGUUUUGCUGUCACUUAUAGAUGGAUCCGCGCCGCAUUAGCUAGUUGGUAAGGUAACGGCUUACCAAGGCAACGAUGCGUAGCCGACCUGAGAGGGUGAUCGGCCACACUGGAACUGAGACACGGUCCAGACUCCUACGGGAGGCAGCAGUAGGGAAUCUUCCGCAAUGGGCGAAAGCCUGACGGAGCAACGCCGCGUGAGUGAUGAAGGUCUUCGGAUCGUAAAACUCUGUUAUUAGGGAAGAACAAAUGUGUAAGUAACUAUGCACGUCUUGACGGUACCUAAUCAGAAAGCCACGGCUAACUACGUG
rnacentral:rRNA from 1 species